AGCGAACGUUAGCGGCGCGCCUAACACAUGCAAGUCGCACGAGAAACGGAGCAAUCCGCGGUACAGUGGCGCACGGGUAAGUAACACGUGGAUGACCUUCCCUGGAGUGGUGGAUAACCUGCCGAAAGGCGGGCUAAUACAGCAUGGGACCACGACGCUUUGGCGAUGUGGUGAAAGCGGGCCUCUAUAUAUAAGCUCGCGCUCCGGGACGGGUCCGCGUCCCAUCAGCUAGUUGGUGAGGUAACGGCUCACCAAGGCAACGACGGGUAGCUGGUCUGAGAGGAUGGCCAGCCACACUGGAACUGAGACACGGUCCAGACUCCUACGGGAGGCAGCAGUGGGGAAUCUUGCGCAAUGGGCGAAAGCCUGACGCAGCCACGCCGCGUGAGCGAUGAAGGCCUGGUCGUAAGCCUGUCAGGGGGAGGAAUGGACGUCGUAACCCGGCGUUCUUGACGGUACCCUCAAGGAAGCACUGGCUAACUCCGUGCCAGCAG
rnacentral:rRNA from 1 species